rnacentral:rRNA from 1 species
AGAAUGAACGCUGGCGGCGUGCUUAACACAUGCAAGUCGUGCGCGAAAGCGACUUCGGUCGCGUGUAGAGCGGCGAACGGGUGAGUAACACGUGGACAACCUGCCCAAGAGUGGGGGAUAACCUGGGGAAACUCGGGCUAAUACCGCAUACGUUCGUGGGGUUUCGGCCCUGCGCAGAAAGGUGGCCUAUGCUUGCAAGCCACCGCUCCUGGAGGGUCCGCGUCUGAUUAGCUAGUUGGCGGGGUAAUGGCCCACCGAAGGCGACGAUCAGUAGCCGGCCUGAGAGGGUGAGUCGGACCACGACUGGAACUGAGACACGGUCCAGACCUCCUACGGGAGCGAGCAGGUGGGAAUAUUGGACAAGUCGGGGGAAACCUGACUCAGCAACGCGCGUGGAGA